GAAAGUGGAUGUCUGAUUUUAAAAGAGAGGUUGAAUCAGAAAAUAUUCCAAGUACAAGUAGCGAACCUCAAGAGCAAAUAGAAGAAACAACUUGUGAUGAGCCUGUAUUAGAGAAGGAAGUAGCUGUGCAAUGUGAAUUACAAUGCCAAGAUUGUUUUAAAACUUGAAAAA